rnacentral:rRNA from 1 species
CGGCGUGCCUAAUACAUGCAAGUCGAGCGAACAGAGAAAGUGUUUGCACUUUCAAAAGUUAGCGGCGGACGGGUGAGUAACACGUAAGGAACCUACCGAUAAGCGGGGGGGACAACAUCCGAAACGGUGCUAAUACCGCAUAGGAAGUUUGUUCGCAUGAACAAACUUAGAAAGAUGGCUCUGCUAUCGCUUAUCGAUGGCCUUGCGGUGCAUUAACUAGUUGGCGAGGGUAACGGGCUCACCAAGGUGAUGAUGCAUAGCCGACCUGAGAGGGUAAUCGGCCACAUUGGGACUGAGACACGGCCCAAACUCCUACGGGAGGCAGCAGUAGGGAAUCUUCCGCAAUGGACGCAAGUCUGACGGAGCAACGCCGCGUGAGUGAAGAAGGUUUUCGGAUCGUAAAACUCUGUUGUAAGAGAAGAACAAAUUGUAGAGUAACUGCUACAGUCUUGACGGUAUCUUACCAGAAAAGCCACGGGCUAACUACGUGCCCAGCAGCCGCGGGUAAAUA